rnacentral:rRNA from 1 species
GACGAACGCUGGCGGCGUGCUUAACACAUGCAAGUCGAACGGAAAGGCCCUGCUUUUGUGGGGUGCUCGAGUGGCGAACGGGUGAGUAACACGUGAGUAACCUGCCCUUGACUUUGGGAUAACUUCAGGAAACUGGGGCUAAUACCGGAUAGGAGCUCCUGCUGCAUGGUGGGGGUUGGAAAGUUUCGGCGGUUGGGGAUGGACUCGCGGCUUAUCAGCUUGUUGGUGGGGUAGUGGCUUACCAAGGCUUUGACGGGUAGCCGGCCUGAGAGGGUGACCGGCCACAUUGGGAGUGAGAUACGGCCCAGACUCCUACGGGAGGAAGCAGUGGGGAAUAUUGCACAAUGGGCGGAAGCCUGAUGCAGCAACGCCGCGUGCGGGAUGACGGCCUUCGGGUUGUAAACCGCUUUCGCCUGUGACGAAGCGUGAGUGACGGUAAUGGGUAAAGAAGCACCGGCUAACUACGUG